rnacentral:rRNA from 1 species
GAUGAACGCUGGCGGCGUGCUUAACACAUGCAACUCGAACGAAGCACCUUGAUUCGAUUCUUCGGAUGAAGAUCUUGGUGACUGAGUGGCGGACGGGUGAGUAACGCGUGGGUAACCUGCCUCAUACAGGGGGAUAACAGUUAGAAAUGACUGCUAAUACCGCAUAAGACCACAGCACCGCAUGGUGCAGGGGUAAAAACUCCGGUGGUAUGAGAUGGACCCGCGUCUGAUUAGGUAGUUGGUGGGGUAACGGCCUACCAAGCCGACGAUCAGUAGCCGACCUGAGAGGGUGACCGGCCACAUUGGGACUGAGACACGGCCCAAACUCCUACGGGAGGCAGCAGUGGGGAAUAUUGCACAAUGGGGGAAACCCUGAUGCAGCGACGCCGCGUGAGCGAUGAAGUAUUUCGGUAUGUAAAGCUCUAUCAGCAGGGAAGAAAAUGACGGUACCUGACUAAGAAGCACCGGCUAAAUACGUG